GAAGGGGCUAGCGUUGUUCGGAAUUACUGGGCGUAAAGCGCGCGCAGGCGGUCUUCCAAGUCAGUGGUGAAAGCCUGGAGCUCAACUCCAGAACUGCCAUUGAAACUGUUAGACUUGAGUACGAGAGAGGUGAGUGGAAUUCCCAGUGUAGAGGUGAAAUUCGUAGAUAUUGGGAAGAACACCAGUGGCGAAGGCGGCUCACUGGCUCGUAACUGACGCUCAGGCGCGACAGCGUGGGGAUCAAACAGGAUUAGAUACCCUGGUAGUCCACGCCGUAAACGAUGAAUGCUAGCCGUUGGAUAGCUUGCUAUUCAGUGGCGCAGCUAACGCAUUAAGCAUUCCGCCUGGGGAGUACGGCCGCAAGGUUG
rnacentral:rRNA from 1 species